UGGGGAAUAUUGCACAAUGGGCGCAAGCCUGAUGCAGCCAUGCCGCGUGUAUGAAGAAGGCCUUCGGGUUGUAAAGUACUUUCAGCGGGGAGGAAGGUGUUGAGGCUAAUAACCUCAGCAAUUGACGUUACCCGCAGAAGAAGCACCGGCUAACUCCGUGCCAGCAGCCGCGGUAAUACGGAGGGUGCAAGCGUUAAUCGGAAUUACUGGGCGUAAAGCGCACGCAGGCGGUCUGUCAAGUCGGAUGUGAAAUCCCCGGGCUCAACCAGGGAACUGCAUUCGAAACUGGCAGGCUAGAGUCUUGUAGAGGGGGGUAGAAUUCCAGGUGUAGCGGUGAAAUGCGUAGAGAUCUGGAGGAAUACCGGUGGCGAAGGCGGCCCCCUGGACAAAGACUGACGCUCAGGUGCGAAAGCGUGGGGAGCAAACA
rnacentral:rRNA from 1 species